rnacentral:rRNA from 1 species
ACAUCCAGAGAAUUUAGCAGAGAUGCUUUAGUGCCUUCGGGAACUCUGAGACAGGUGCUGCAUGGCUGUCGUCAGCUCGUGUUGUGAAAUGUUGGGUUAAGUCCCGNAACGAGCGCAACCCUUAUCCUUUGUUGCCAGCACGUAAUGGUGGGAACUCAAAGGAGACUGCCGGUGAUAAACCGGAGGAAGGUGGGGAUGACGUCAAGUCAUCAUGGCCCUUACGAGUAGGGCUACACACGUGCUACAAUGGCGCAUCAAAGAGAAGCGACCUCGCGAGAGCAAGCGGACCUCAUAAAGUGCGUCGUAGUCCGGAUUGGAGUCUGCAACUCGACUCCAUGAAGUCGGAAUCGCUAGUAAUCGUAAAUCAGAAUGUUACGGUGAAUACGUUCCCGGGCCUUGUACACACCGCCCGUCACACCAUGGGAGUGGGUUGCAAAAGAAGUAGAUAGCUUAACCUUCGGGAGGGCGUUUACCACUUUGUGAUUCAUGACUGGGGUGAAGUCGUAACAAGGUAAGCGUAGUGCU